rnacentral:rRNA from 1 species
UACGGAGGGCGCAAGCGUUGUUCGGAAUUACUGGGCGUAAAGCGCGUGUAGGCGGCUAAGCAAGUCGGUUGUGAAAGCCCAGGGCCCAACCCUGGAAUUGCGUCCGAAACUGCUUGGCUAGAGUCCUGGAGAGGAAGGCAGAAUUCCCAGUGUAGGGGUGAAAUCCGUAGAUACUGGGAGGAAUACCCGUAGCGAAGGCGGCCUUCUGGACAGUGACUGACGCUGAGACGCGAAAGCGUGGGGAGCAAACAGG